rnacentral:lncRNA from 1 species
AAAGACGCAACCCCGAAUUUGCUCCCGAGGCAACCUGGAAGGUGAUACAGUUGAGAAACAAAAUGUUGGACGCAACUUGGAAACUCUAGACCGAAAGAGGAGAAGGUAAGCCCAAGCUGAAAAAGAAGCUGUCUGUCAUAAAGAGUGGUUUGGAGCCUGCAAGCUUAUCCAACAUGGUGAGAUUUCAACUUAACCAAACACAAAAGAGCGCAUUC